rnacentral:lncRNA from 1 species
AUGUAUGCGAGAUGAAAUGUGGAUAUCUAUAGUACUCUAUAUGACAAAUAGGAUAUCAGGUAGAUCGAGUGGCAUUAACCUAGUGUUAAUAAACAUAGGUCGAACAUAGAUGACAUUGAACCUAGUGUUGGUGAACCUAGGAUAAAUAACGAGUGGCAUCUAACCUAGUGUUAAAGAACAUAGGUUGAGUAUGAACCUAGAGUCAGGAUCUAGGUGUGUGGC